rnacentral:rRNA from 1 species
CAAUAAAUUUUAUUUAAUGCUUUUGGUUAAUUGAAGUUAAAUUAUUUUUGAGUUUAUUUUGUUUAUUUUUAGGUGAAAUUUAAAUAUUGAUUAAUUUUUAAUUUUGAUUCUUUUAAAUUCUUCUAUUAAACUAGGAUUAGAUACCCUAUUAUUUUGAAUGUUAAUUUUUGCCUGGGUAAUAAUAGUUAUUUUCUUUAAACCCAAAGAAUUUGGCGGUGUUUUAGUCUACUUAGAGGAAUUUGUCCCAUAAUCGAUAAUCCUCGUUUUAUCUUUCUUGAUUUUGUUUAUCAGUAAGUAUAUCGCCGUUAUAAGUUUAUUUUUUUAGAAUUUUAAUUUACUUUAAAAAUUAUUAUUUUUUAUUUCAGGUCNAGGUGCA